GUGAGGUCCUGUGUGAGAACCAGUCCUGAAGACAAUAAAAGCAAGAAAGGCAGCAAUCGGUCUAAUUUCGAAACUUCAUGCAGUCAGUACAUUCAGAAAGCCUUUGGUUAAAUUCUGCAUAAUUGGUUCCUGCUUAAGACAGAGCUUGCAGGAAUCCAGGAGGAGACAUGGGAGCAGAUAAAGAAUGAGUGGAAGAAACAAAAAACAGACACUCCUGAUUACAAGAACCUGCCAGAGGGGGUUGUACAACCUCCACCUUGGACUUUGAGAAAUCUAUGCACUCUGAAGAUGCCUGACUUGACCGGGCAGUUUACAGAGGCUCUGAAAGUCAAGUCCAUCUCUGUCUGGCUCAAAUGAUGCCUUGAUUACACCAUAAUGAAACUAAAGCACAGAUAUUUGGAGCAAACUUUCUACAAUAUCAGAACAUCCUCAACUAGACUGCUGUGGGUAAGCGAUCUCACAACCCCACUGUUUAAGGUUGUUUAUAAAGCUCUUUUCUUUUUACAUACUCUGCAGAGAAGAUUCUAUCCUAGACAGUAUAUGUAAGGUAGCAACCCGGAUGCUA